CAAUAGCGUAUAUUAAAGUUGUUGCAGUUAAAAGCUCGUAGUUGAAUUUCUGGAUGUGAAAGGUGGUCCGUUCCUCACGGAAUGCGUACUUUCCAUUUAUGUCCAUCCUCGGAGUUAGUGUGUAUUACUUUAAUCGGUCGUGCAUACAACCUCCGUCAUUUACUGUGAGCAAAAUAGAGUGUUCAAAGCAGGCUUAUGCCGUUGAAUAUAUUAGCAUGGAAUAAUAAGAUAUGACUUUGGUCUAUUUUGUUGGUUUGCACUCCAAAGUAAUGAUUAAUAGGGACAGUUGGGGGCGAUUAGUAUUUAAUUGUCAGAGGUGAAAUUACUUGGAUUUAUUGAAAGAACUAACUAACUGCGAAAGACAUUUGUCCAACGGAAUGUUUUCUAUUAAUACAAGAAACGAAAGUUAAGGGGUAGUCGAAGACGAUCAGAUACCGU
rnacentral:rRNA from 1 species